AAUAUUGGACAAUGGGGGCAACCCUGAUCCAGCCACGCAGCGUGUUUGAAGAAGGUCNNNGGAUUNUCAAGCACUUUAAGUUGNGAGNAAGGUCUUUCGCUUAAUACCCUGAAGUUUUUACUUUACCACCAGAUUAAGCACCGGCUAACUCUGUACCUACCGCCGCGGUAAUACAGAGGGCGCAAGCGUUAAUCGGAAUUACUGGGCGUAAAGCGCGCGUAGGGGGUUCAGUAAGAUGGGUGUGAAAUCCCCGGGCUUAACCUGGGAACUGCUUUCAUAACUGCUGAGCUAGAGUACGGUAGAGGGUAGUGGAAUUUCCUGUGUAGCGGUGAAAUGCGUAGAUAUAGGAAGGAACACCAGUGGCGAAGGCGACUACCUGGACUGAUACUGACACUGAGGUGCGAAAGCGUGGGGAGCAAA
rnacentral:rRNA from 1 species